AAAGGCUGCUCCAUAGUGUGUCCAGGCUCAUGGACUUGAGAUGGUCUCGUGGAAUUCCCAUGUGUGCCAGAGAUUUAUGGCUUCCCCAGUGACUUAGCAGAAACCUGAUACGGGACACUGAGAGGUGGAGAUGAAGUAAAGCCUUAAUACUGAUGGGAGAAGUGGCUUCAGAUGUGUGGCCUGCUCUUCAGUCAGGAGGCUGUGGUCCCUGUAGAACCAUUGGGAGCCCUGCAACCUGCCCGAGUAGGGGGCCCUGCUCCACUCAGCCCAUGGAGCAUGAACUUUGUGAAUGGCUAACUUUGAACUGUGGUGUUGGAGAAGACUCUUGAGAGUCCCUUGGACUGCAAGGAGAUCCAACCAGUCCACUCUGAAGGAGAUCAGCCCUGGGAUUUCUUUGGAAGGAAUGAUGCUAAAGCUGAAACUCCAGUACUUUGGCCACCUCAUGCGAAGAGUUGACUCAUUGGAAAUGACUCUGAUGCUGGGAGGAAUUGGGGGCAGGAGGAGAAGGGGACAACUGAGGAUGAGAUGGCUGGAUGGCAUCACUGACUCGAUGGAUGUGUUUGAGUGAACUCUGGGAGUUGGUGAUGGACAGGGAGGCCUGGCGUGCUGCGAUUCAUGGGGUCGCAAAGAGUCGGACACGACUGAGCAACUGAACUGAACUGAACUGAACCUUAACAGAAACGUUCAAGGUCUUCUCCAAAGGAGCAGGAAGGGUGUUCAGUCCAAAGCUGCCAGGACAGUUGGGAAUACGCCUGUCUUGAAAGUUAAAGUGUUAGUUGCUCAGUCAUGUCUGACUCUUCGCGAUCCCAUGGACUGUAGUCUGCUAGGAUCCUCUAUCCAUGGAAUUCUCCAG
ensembl:lncRNA